GGUUGCGAUCAUACCAGCACUAAUGCACCGGAUCCCAUCAGAACUCCGUAGUUAAGCGUGCUUGGGCGAGAGUAGUACUAGGAUGGGUGACCCCCUGGAAGUCCUCGUGUUGCAACCC
rnacentral:rRNA from 1 species